rnacentral:rRNA from 1 species
UCAGGAUGAACGCUAGCGACAGGCUUAACACAUGCAAGUCGAGGGGCAGCACAGGUAGCAAUACCGGGUGGCGACCGGCGCACGGGUGAGUAACGCGUAUGCAACUUGCCUAUCAGAGGGGGAUAACCCGGCGAAAGUCGGACUAAUACCGCAUGAAGCAGGGAUCCCGCAUGGGAAUAUUUGCUAAAGAUUCAUCGCUGAUAGAUAGGCAUGCGUUCCAUUAGGCAGUUGGCGGGGUAACGGCCCACCAAACCGACGAUGGAUAGGGGUUCUGAGAGGAAGGUCCCCCACAUUGGUACUGAGACACGGACCAAACUCCUACGGGAGGCAGCAGUGAGGAAUAUUGGUCAAUGGCCGAGAGGCUGAACCAGCCAAGUCGCGUGAGGGAUGAAGGUUCUAUGGAUCGUAAACCUCUUUUAUAAGGGAAUAAAGUGCGGGACGUGUCCCGUUUUGUAUGUACCUUAUGAAUAAGGAUCGGCUAACUCCGUGCCAGCAGCCGCGGUAAUACGGAGGAUCCGAGCGUUAUCCGGAUUUAUUGGGUUUAAAGGGUGCGUAGGCGGCCUUUUAAGUCAGCGGUGAAAGUCUGUGGCUCAACCAUAGAAUUGCCGUUGAAACUGGGGGGCUUGAGUAUGUUUGAGGCAGGCGGAAUGCGUGGUGUAGCGGUGAAAUGCAUAGAUAUCACGCAGAACCCCGAUUGCGAAGGCAGCCUGCCAAGCCAUGACUGACGCUGAUGCACGAAAGCGUGGGGAUCAAACAGGAUUAGAUACCCUGGUAGUCCACGCAGUAAACGAUGAUCACUAGCUGUUUGCGAUACACUGUAAGCGGCACAGGAAAAGCGUUAAGUGAUCCACCUGGGGAGUACGCCGGCAACGGUGAAACUCAAAGGAAUUGACGGGGGCCCGCACAAGCGGAGGAACAUGUGGUUUAAUUCGAUGAUACGCGAGGAACCUUACCCGGGUUUGAACGCAUUCGGACCGAGGUGGAAACACCUUUUCUAGCAAUAGCCGUUUGCGAGGUGCUGCAUGGUUGUCGUCAGCUCGUGCCGUGAGGUGUCGGCUUAAGUGCUAUAACGAGCGCAACCCUUGCCACUAGUUACUAACAGGUAAAGCUGAGGACUCUGGUGGGACUGCCAGCGUAAGCUGCGAGGAAGGCGGGGAUGGCGUCAAAUCAGCACGGCCCUUACAUCCGGGGCGACACACGUGUUACAAUGGCGUGGACAAAGGGAAGCCACCUGGCGACAGGGAGCGAAUCCCCAAACCACGUCUCAGUUCGGAUCGGAGUCUGCAACCCGACUCCGUGAAGCUGGAUUCGCUAGUAAUCGCGCAUCAGCCAUGGCGCGGUGAAUACGUUCCCGGGCCUUGUACACACCGCCCGUCAAGCCAUGGGAGCCGGGGGUACCUGAAGUCCGUAACCGCGAGGAUCGGCCUAGGGUAAAAC